GUAAAUGUAAUUUAAUAAAAACAUUAGAUUAUGAAUUUGAUGCUAGAAGCUCAAAACUUCUUAUUUACC
rnacentral:tRNA from 1 species